rnacentral:lncRNA from 1 species
GAAGAGAAGAACCACAAAGAUAAUGUACAGCAUGGUGACUAAAGUUAACAAUACUGUAUUGCAUAAUUAAAAGUUGCUAAGAGAGAAAAUCUUAAAAGUUCCUGUCUCAAGAAAAACAUUAGAAUUAUGGACAGUGCGGAAUGUUAACUAAAUUUUUUAUGGUGAUCAUUUUGCAAUAUAUACAAAUAGAGAAUCAUGUUGUAUACCUGAAACUAAUGUAAUAUUAUAUGUCAGUUAUACUUCAAUAAAAAAAUUUUAAGAACAACAAAAAUCCAGAAAAGACAGAGUUUGAUUUUUUUUUCAGAGUUUGAAUUUAAGUGCUACUGUAAUGUUAUCUGAAAAAUCACUGUGGUUGGACAUAUUUGCAAAUAUAUGAGUUCUAUAAUAACUGGCAUUGAAUAAGUCCAAUAAUAAUUGUGUUGUAUAUAUGCUAAAAUUAUACAAUGAUAGGACUUUAAAAAGAAAAUCUAAGGAUAAAAAAUGCAAGACUAGUUCAAAAGAGAUUUUUACUAUAAACCUUCAAGAAAACUGUCAUACAUUAAGAUAACAAAAACAUGGACAGAACUCACUUCCAUGUGUGGGACACUAAGACUUUCAAGACAUAACAAAAUAAAAUGCCUUGAUAGAAGUUGAAAAUAUAGUCCUUAUUUCAUGUUUUAAAACAGACAAUGGUAGCAUCAACACAACAAAAAAUUGAUAUUUUUGGAUACUCAAUUUAUACUUUGAGUGACCUAAAGGUGAAUGAAAUAUUAUCAUGAUAGUCAUGUUUUAACAGUAUUUAUCUUACAAAGAUAUUUCAAAACUAAGAGGAUAAAUUUACAUUUUCUCAACAGUGCAGAGCCUGGUUGAUAUUUACUAAAAUUUAGAGCAGUAGUUGUGAACAGGAAGGAGGAGUACAUAGAGAAUUCAUUAUGUGAUCUGUGCCUUUAAGAACAUAGGGGGAAUCUAAAAGCAAUCUCUCCCAAAAGAACCAAUGAAGGAGCUUCCUUCAGGGAGAGAAAAUCAGCUCUGUUUAAAACAAAGCAGAACAAUGAAGCAUUUUUAAACUGGCAGCACCACUCCUCCUUCUCAUAGUUUGGUUUGCCCUCUUGCAAAGCAACACCCUGGCAUCCACAUUAGAAUUGAAACCGACAAGGCAUCCCUUUCAUCCCUGGCUGCCAAAACUCCUCACUAAUAAUAAUUAGCCAUCCCUGGCUUCCAGCCAAGAGAGUUUAAUAAAUACUAGAAGGGCUUUGGGGCCUCAGCUGCAUUUCUAGUGUUUAGCUAAGGAAUGAUAGGGGGGAGGAAACACGGCUUUGUGCUGAAUGAAAUCUGCUGAAUAGCAUCAGUGCAGCAAAAGGACCACUCAGUUGUCUGUUAAUGAAUGGCCAUUGUUUAAAUAUAUAUUUUAUGUUGGAGUCCAUGUAGAAAUGCUCAUUCAAAUAGGUCAUAUUCAGCUUUAUAAAGUUUGUUUCUAUGCCUGCCCUAAAAAUGUUAAUAUAUAGCAUCAUAACAUUUGAUAAUCACUCUAAAAGUCAUUAUCUUUAUACCUUUCACAUAGGUGUGCUUUUCUAGGAAAUGUAAAUGGCUUGAAUUUCCACAUAAAUAAUGAUUCAAAUAUUCAGUGUUUACACAAUUUAAUAAUGUGGGUAAUACUGAAGGAAGAGUCCUUAUGAAUGUACUAUUUUAAGUACUGGAUAAAUUCUUCAUUUUGGUUUGUGAGAUCAUCAACCCGAAAAUUUCACAGAGCAUAUAACUGAAAGCCUCAAAAAGAAUAGAUACUGUAAAAAAGAAAAAAAAAAAAAGAAGAAAGGAAGGAAGGAAGAAAGAAAGAACAGAUACUGUUAUAGUGUAUUUAUUCAAAGAAAUAUGGUAUGGAAUGGAUGGGGAGCUUCUUCCCCAUAAUUCUAGUUAGUAAUCUUUUUUAUUUUCUUAAAUUUUUUUUAUUUGAGUAUAGUUCUACUCCAUGUGUGGAGGAAAAAUAUAAGAGAAAUUAUUUUAAUUUCUCUCACCUUUCACUCUGAAAGGCAGUGAGGAAUGACUUAUCUGAUUGGCAAAACCUGAAGAAAGACACCGCUUGCAUGAAUUUUCUUUUACCUUUUCCAGAAUGGCCUGUCUUUAAGACUCAUUCAUUCUCUGUGUUGUGGGGCUGCACCCCUGCAAAGAAAGGCCAGGGUGCUGUGGGUGUGCCUCAGAUAAAUGGGUAAGUAUGGUUUACUCAGAGGUGAAGGGUUAUGGUGCAAGCAAGUAUCUUUAUCUCCACGUCUCUAACUCCAGAGUCUUCCCAUCACUUCAGAAAGCUCUGGAGGAAGUCAGGCCUGCUGCCCUACUCUAAGACCCUAACAUGAGUGAAAAUUGAUCCAGGUGUUUUCUGGAGAAUACAAACACAUAGCAUAUGUGUGAGCAUGUCUUAUUAUCCUUGAUAGCUUUCUGUACCUAUUUUCCUAAUCUGAAAUGAAUAUAGAUGGAGUUUUAGCCCUUGUUUCAAGGCCUUAGAAUAGUCCUCUUCUGCCUUGGCCAACAAUAAAAUAUAUGAGAGCUUGUUUCAUGCAAUUUUACUAAGGAGACUGAAGUCAAGCAGGUAACCUCACUCUAAUGCUACCUGCCAGCCUUCUGACUCGGGAUUUCACUUUGAUGAAACUUGCAUGCAUCAGGACUAGAAAGUGCACCGGCUUUCUCCAUGCAUUUCCCUAGAAAAUGAUUUCAUAGGCCAUUAGGGGGUUUAACUCUAACUUGAAACCAUAUUUUCAGGACACAGGUAUUAAACUCCUAAUAAGUCUGCCUUGAUUUCUAAUUGGGAGCUGUUUUAUCAACAUAUAUUUAUCCAACAAUUAGAGUAGAAAUCAUCACUUUGGAUGUUGACCAAGAAUUAAGACACUACAAUCAGGAAUUCAGAACAUUUAUUGCAAGAGCUGAAUAAUUGUAAAUAACGUAGAACUGGCAAAGCGGUAACAAGGAUAAUUGUUUAGAUAUUUAUUCUGUCAAAGUCAUCAAACACCCCUCACAAACCGACAAAAAUGUACUGCAAUAAGCAAUGCACCCCUACCCAUUAUUUUCCAUUAUACUGUGGAAAAAUGUGAAUCGCUAUUUACAAAGUAAUUUUAUUUUUGGUAAGAACAAAUUAACUAUCAGAUUAGCAAACCUUUUUUUUUAUUUUUUAUUUUAUUUUUUUUCUUUUAAACUGAUGUUGAACCGUGGCAUUAAGAUAACUUUCACUUCUUUCAAUAAAGACAUUUUGUUGCAUGCUAUUUAUUUGUUUAAAUCAUCUGUCAUGCCUUAACAAAAACCUCCUAAGAAUGUUCGAAUUUGGAUUUGUUUGCACGUGCAACUGAGAUCUUAUUAACAUUAGUUGUCACUCUGUUGGUUUGACCUAAGUGACAAGAUGCUGGUACCUGCCAGGCAUUGACCGACUAUGAUAACAAACAGUUAAACAGCAAUAAUUAGAGAUUUAUCCCUUUAUUUCCCCCAACUAGCCUACCUGGAGAAUGUUCUGUUACAUCAUGAAGGCACAACACAUUAAAUAUUUUGUGGCUAUGGUCUAACACUUGUGUUACAACAACAUUAUCGUAUAUGAGGAUCAACACAAACUCUGCCAUUUCAACAAAGUUGUAGACACACAUUUGCCCAGUUGAAACUAUUUUUGAAUAGUAAUUUUUCUUCAAUAUAUGCUAAUUUUGAUACAUUAGUUUUGUAUGAGUGACAAGUACAGGAUAUUAUAUUACUUUCUGAAGGAUAACACUUUCCCAUUACUUUCGCACUUAAUGCUACUAAUUAAGUGAUUUUACUUUCGCCUACUUUGAAAACAAGGAUGUCAAGAAAAUCGGUUCUGAAUUUCCAAGCUUCUGCAGAAGUACUGUUUUUAUAUAAAGUUUUUGUUUUAGCUUUAUUUUUUACAGAAUCCUAGCGCCAUAAGAUGUCACAAAAGAAGCAAGAUUCCAGAACCUUUUUUUAAACACAAGUGUUUGAGAUCCUUUGAACAACGUGUGUCAAGACAGACUACUAACGCAGAAACACCUCACUAAAAGAAACAACAAAAAUAACGACAAAGAGGCAAAGGGGCAAAUUAAGAAAAAGGGAAGAAGCAACCAGAAAACACAGAAUUAUGCUACAACAUUUUUUAGGUGAACGUUGUAAGUACACAAAAGUUGUUAAUAAUAACUUGCUUCUAUUUACAAAUACUUUAACACUGAUUGACUUACAAGUAUCCACUAACGUUGUUAACAGCACGAUAGGUUUAAUGCUUAUCUUUUUUAAGUUUCGCUUGAAGUAUAAUGUCAAGUAUAGCAGUCCCAGCACAAAUCAAAGACAAAAAGAGCACAAGUUUCUAACUGGAUAUGUUUGUCAGUCACUCUAAUCCAUGGAACUUUCUUACUCUCCAAAUGCAUAUUCUAUUGUUCAUAGCAGCAGUCCAGGGUCAAAAGAAAAAUUCAAUUAAAAAAAAAAAAA